GAGUGACGCCGAGUACGGAGCGGCCUGUCACGCCGGAGGUCGCGGGUUCGAGUCCCGUCGCUCC
rnacentral:tRNA from 1 species